rnacentral:rRNA from 1 species
GGCUCAGGAUGAACGCUAGCGACAGGCCUAACACAUGCAAGUCGAGGGGCAGCACAAGGAGCAAUCUGAGGUGGCGACCGGCGCACGGGUGAGUAACACGUAUGCAACCUGCCUGUAAGCGGGGAAUAACCCGUUGAAAGACGGACUAAUACCGCAUAAUACUAAAUUACUGCAUGGUAAUUUAUUUAAACAUUUAUGGCUUACAGAUGGGCAUGCGCAUGAUUAGCUAGUUGGAGAGGUAACGGCUCCCCAAGGCAACGAUCAUUAGGGGUUCUGAGAGGAAGGUCCCCCCACACUGGUACUGAGACACGGACCAGACUCCUACGGGAGGCAGCAGUGAGGAAUAUUGGUCAAUGGACGAGAGUCUGAACCAGCCAAGUCGCGUGCAGGAAGAAUUGUCCUAUGGAUUGUAAACUGCUUUUGCAGGGGAAUAAAGUGCAUCACGUGUGAUUGUUUUGUAUGUACUCUGCGAAUAAGGAUCGGCUAACUCCGUGCCAGCCGCCGC